rnacentral:rRNA from 1 species
CCUACGGGGUGCUGCAGUGGGGAAUAUUGCGCAAUGGGGGCAACCCUGACGCAGCAACGCCGCGUGAUUGAAGAAGGCCUUCGGGUUGUAAAGAUCUUUAAUUGGGGACGAAUUUUGACGGUACCCGAAGAAUAAGCUCCGGCUAACUACGUGCCAGCAGCCGCGGUAAUACGUAGGGGGCAAGCGUUAUCCGGAUUUACUGGGUGUAAAGGGCGUGUAGGCGGGCAUGCAAGCCAUAAGUGAAAUCUUGGGGCUUAACACCCCAACGGGUUUUGGAACUGCGUGUCUUGAGAGUAGGAGAGGCAGGCGGAAUUGCCGGUUUAGCGGUGAAAUGCGUAGAUAUUAGAAAGAACACCAAUGGCGAAGGCAGCCUGCUGAACAUUAACUGACGCUGAGGCGCGAAAGCGUGGGGAGCAAACAGGAUUAGAUACCCGGGUAGUC